CUUUGGGAUAACCCUCGGAAACGGGGGCUAAUACUGGAUAUGACCUUUGCCUGCAUGGGUGGGGGUGGAAAGUUUUUUCGGCUAGGGGUGGGCUCGCGGUCUAUCAGCUUGUUGGUGGGGUGAUGGCCUACCAAGGCGACGACGGGUAGCCGGCCUGAGAGGGCGACCGGCCACACUGGGACUGAGACACGGCCCAGACUCCUACGGGAGGCAGCAGUGGGGAAUAUUGCACAAUGGGCGGAAGCCUGAUGCAGCGACGCCGCGUGAGGGAUGACGGCCUUCGGGUUGUAAACCUCUUUCGGCAGGGACGAAGCGUGAGUGACGGUACCUGCAGAAGAAGCGCCGGCCAACUACGUGCCAGCAGCCGCGGUAAGACGUAGGGCGCGAGCGUUGUCCGGAUUUAUUGGGCGUAAAGAGCUCGUAGGCGGCUUGUUGCGUCGACCGUGAAAACCCGGGGCUCAACUUCGGGCUUGCGGUCGAUACGGGCGGGCUAGAGUUCGGUAGGGGAGACUGGAAUUCCUGGUGUAGCGGUGAAAUGCGCAGAUAUCAGGAGGAACACCGGUGGCGAAGGCGGGUCUCUGGGCCGAUACUGACGCUGAGGAGCGAAAGCGUGGGGAGCGAACAGGAUUAGAUACCCUGGUAGUCCACGCUGUAAACGUUGGGCGC
rnacentral:rRNA from 1 species